GAAAAAUUAGCGGAUGACCUGUGGCUGGGGGUGAAAGGCCAAUCAAACCGGGAGAUAGCUGGUUCUCCCCGAAAGCUAUUUAGGUAGCGCCUCGUGAAUUCAUCUCCGGGGGUAGAGCACUGUUUCGGCUAGGGGGCCAUCCCGGCUUACCAACCCGAUGCAAACUGCGAAUACCGGAGAAUGUUAUCACGGGAGACACACGGCGGGUGCUAACGUCCGUCGUGAAGAGGGAAACAACCCAGACCGCCAGCUAAGGUCCCAAAGUCAUGGUUAAGUGGGAAACGAUGUGGGAAGGCCCAGACAGCCAGGAUGUUGGCUUAGAAGCAGCCAUCAUUUAAAGAAAGCGUAAUAGCUCACUGGUCGAGUCGGCCUGCGCGGAAGAUGUAACGGGGCUAAACCAU
rnacentral:rRNA from 1 species